GGUCAUAAUUAAUGUACCAGUACUCAAAAACUGGUUUGUGUUGGAAUAUAUUAGUUAAGUUAUAUUUUAGUAUUGAUGAUAGGGUUAAUGAGCCUAGUAUUUCAUGAGAAAUAAGGCUUGUGACUUACUAAUAUCAGCUUCACUUUUUAAUUGUUCUGAAUUAUGCUAAUAUAAAUCAAAGAACUUGAAUUUCUACAUAAGAAGCAUGAAGAGAGGGUAAGACAUUGCCCUUUGCUGAUCAACCUUAUAAUCAAGAUUGGGAUAAGGACACCUGUUUGCAAAAGCAAAGGAGGGUGGUGAGGCAAAGGCUUUCAGAAGAAAUCCUGGCAAGUGGAAUAUUUUGUUAGAGUUACAGAAACAAUUUUACAUUUAGGAUUUAAUCUUUGGAUAAAUAUCCAAAUAGAUGUCAAUAGAAACUUAGGUUUUAAAAGGAUAUUUGAAUUCUUACCAUGUUUUAUUUUAUUUUUAUUUUUCAUUUUUUUUUAGGGCCACACCUGUGGCAUAUGGAAGUUCUUGGGCUAAGGGUUGAAUUGGAGCUACUGCUGCUGGCCUAUACCACAGCCACAGCAACUCAGGAUCCAAGCUGCAUCUGCAACCUACACUGCAGCUCACAGCAACACUGGAUACUUAACCCACUGAGUGAGGCCAGGGAUCAAACUCAAAUCCUCAGGAAUGCCAGUUGGGUUCAUUUCCACUGAGCCACAAUGGGAACUCCUAAUUUUAUUUUAUCUUUAGAAGUUACUCUUUUUCUGUGAUUUGUCCUUCCCUGCUACUUAGAUGACAUGUGAUGACAGGUUUUCUGUGCUCUGUGCCCUCUCAUUCUAUCACUGUAUGAACACCUAACAUACUCUUUGGAGAUCACUCAGGGAAAAUAAUCUGUUGUUACUUAUUGUGGGUUUUAGUGGAAUAAAAGUACUGUAGUUGGUUGCUAAUAUUACCACCUUGUGUACAAAUACUUUUUUGCAUGCAGUUUCCUAAUGUCAUUAAGGAGUAUUGUAAUUUCAUUAUGUAGUAAUGUAGCACUUCGAUUACAGACAACAUUUAAAUAAAAAUUUUAUAAUUCCAAAUCUGAAAAAAUAUAUGGUUUAUUUUUAGUUCUUUGCAAUUAUUUAGCUACUUAACACUUCUCUGCUCUCAAUAAGAAGCAAAAAAUGCUCUAGAGCCCUUAAGAACUAAGGAUUUGUCAAAUACUCUCUAAAACAUAGGCCUAGAAAUUCUGAGUAAAAAGUAAAAGAAUUAAAUUUCAUGAAUAUUCAUAAUAAAACCAACAGUACAUGUAGCCAAUGCCUAAGGUAUCUGAUUGAUAAAUCUCUAAUUCUGAUAAUUUUUUUCUUUAAGCAUUUUUAGCUCAGCCAAUACACUAAUAAUUGGGAAUUAUUACUUACUUGAAAGUAUCAUUUUGGUCUCUAUACCACGAUGAGGAGAACCUCUGAGAUAUCAAACUUCUUUUUCUAGUGGUUUCUGGCAUGUUAGAAUCCCAAAGAAAGUUUUAUAAUUUUCAGUAGUCCUUGUAGAUCAAUGAAGUUAGGUUGAUUAUACUCCAUUACUUUCCUGAAAGGGCACCUUGUGGUCUGAUUGAUGUAGUAGCUAGAGGGGAAAAGACCAGAAUUUUGGUAAAUUCACUGUGGGUCCCAAAAGAAACAAACAUGCUCCCUGUUACUCUCUUUCUCAUAAUAAAAAUUCCAAGCCAUUUCUAUAAAGAAGCAAUUUCACAUUUGGAUUUUUAUGUUACUUUUUUACAUAGUUUCUCAAUCAAUCUCUCUGUAAAUGAACUUAUAUUAAAACUUGUUACCUCACAUAGUAGCUAAAUAAGAACUAUUACAAGUUGUUAAAAGUUGCAUACCAUGUUUCUUUCACUUAUAGAGUUUUCUUAUAUAAAGUUUGAUUAUAUGGUAAAAACUUUACAACAUUCCUAAGGAUGCACGGCAAACACAGCAUGCCCUGUUUUGUGUGUAUGUAUGUGCACUGUGCACAUAUGCCUGUGUGUCUCUGAUAACUUGGCUAUUUUCAAAUGUCAGUUUCACUGGACAAAUCUAAUUGAUCUUGCUGUAUUGACCAGUGACUAGUUUUCUUCUAGUCUUGACCUUAAUACCUUCUAAUAAGAGAUUAAGAAAUUCUUGAAAAUGUAGGUAGCAUGACCAAAUGAAUUUGGGGGAUAUUUUUACAAUGAUAAUUUCUAUGGUAAAUUUAGUAGCAAAAGCACAAGGUAAAACUAGAUUUCAGCUCCUCUAUUACAAAAAUUUCUUGUCAGGUCUUUAAGCUCUGGUUUCCAACUAAUCACAUAUGGGAAGGUUAUUAAAAGGAGAUAGAUUUUUCUCAAGAUUAUUUCUGAUGAUUUUUUUUCCUAUACUAUAAUAAUGUUAACAGUGUAUUCACAGAUACUCUUGGUUUCCAAAGUACAAAAAAUGAUUUAUUUUGUGUUAACAGCAAUACUGUGAGGUUGGUAGGGAAGGUACCCAAUUUCACAGAUGAGCAAACUGAGGUUUGGAGGAAUGACAGGGAAAUGCUCAUGAUCAUACAGAUGUUGGCAGCAGAGUGAGUAAAGAACUCGGGUUUUGUGGUUCUUAAUUCAAUAGUAUGUCCUCCAUACUCAUAUUGCUUUUGUCUUUGGGGACAAGCAUAGCACUUUUAAAAUGUAAAUAUUAGGAGUUAAGGCCAUUUUGGUAUAGGUUCCCCCCAUGCUUGGUGGAAGGCUAUCCAUGCAGGAGUCUGUGCUGGAAGGUCACCCUGGUGCCCUGCUGUCAACACAGAAGUAGGGCCUACCAUUUACUUCCUAUGUUCGUAACUAGAAUCAAACAGUCAUCACUGGAGGCUGUUUUAUUUAGCUCUGACAACAAACAAGUAUGUGCCCAGUUAUAUACAUGACAAAUAUGUAAAACUUGUGAGAUAUUUAAUGACUCAAAAAAGCAUAAAAUAAAAUUUGAAAUGUAUCUAACAGAAAUAAAAAUCUAUGGACAUUUUCUUAUGGAUUUUAUUUUAGAAGGCAUAAGGCUUUCAUUCUAGUAUUAUAUAUUUAAUAUCAGACAAAUGUUUCAAGUGAUGGAUGUUUAAAAGAGGGCAACCACUAAUAAUAAAUGGAGUAAACGAACUUGCAAGUCUUCAGAAUAUUUGGUGAAUGUUUUCUCUUUAUGUUGUAUCUACUUAUGUCAAGCAAUGUUACUAAACUGAAUAAACUGUAAUGUAAAACUGAGAUUCAUUAAGCUGUUCACUUUUUUUAUUGGUUACUUGUAUUUAAAAAAAGUGACAAUGGAAAUGAAAAGUAAUGUUGCCACAAAAAAAUAAAGAUUUUUUUUGAGGCUAUAAAAAUAGGAUAAAAUGGUAUGUAUUUUUAUUUAAAAAUUUUUUUGGUAUUUAAAGUAUAUAUUUUAAAAUUUAUAGCUGGUUUAUAGUAUUCUGUCAAUUUUCUAUUGUACAGCAAGCCCAUUUUAAGUUUUACUUUACAUAGGAGAAUAAACAAAUACUACUUGGCAGAAAUCACUUAACAACUUCUUACUUUUCUCCAAGGUUCAGAGAAUGAAACAGAUUUUUAUAGGACAAAAUGCAGCUAAAUGGUCUCCUUGGCAAAUAUUUGAACUUACUUCUAUGCCUGAGACAUUAAGAAAAUGUCACUUGAAUAAAGAUGAAGUUGAACAAACCUAUCACAACCUAGAAAAGAAAGAAAGUGGAAUUUGAUCUAACUUUAUUUCCUAGACUCAAAAUCAUAACAGUAAAGUUCUUUAUAUGAGCAACUUUGAGAAAUGAAGGAAGGAGCAAUAUAAUUUCUUUCCAUGCAUUGAGCCAAAGAAAUGAAGGAAGAAAAAUAAUUUUUCUCCAUUGGCCCCCUGUGUAAAAUUUCUUAUCAUCCCAUCUAGUCAUAUCUUUCUGCAGUUUGAAUUACCCUCUUUUCCUCAGACUGGUAAGGCAGUGAAAGGAUGUUUGUUCUGCUAAUUAACUUUAUUACCCUGAUAACUCCCUGCAGCCUUUGACGAAAACAAUUACCGUUACUCCUUUUUCCCCC
rnacentral:lncRNA from 1 species